rnacentral:rRNA from 1 species
GUGUCAGCCGCCGCGGUAAUACGGAGGGGGCUAGCGUUGUUCGGAAUUACUGGGCGUAAAGCGCGCGUAGGCGGAUUGUUAAGUCGGAGGUGAAAUCCCGGGGCUCAACCCCGGAACUGCCUCCGAUACUGGCAAUCUAGAGUUCUGGAGAGGUGAGUGGAAUUCCGAGUGUAGAGGUGAAAUUCGUAGAUAUUCGGAGGAACACCAGUGGCGAAGGCGGCUCACUGGCCAGACACUGACGCUGAGGUGCGAAAGCGUGGGGAGCAAACAGGAGUAGAUACCCUGGUAGUCCACGCCCUAAACGAUGAAUGCCAGACGUCGGGCAGCAUGCUGUUCGGUGUCGCAGCUAACGCAUUAAGCACUCCGCCUGGGGAGUACGGCCGCAAGGUUAAAACUCAAAUGAAUUGACGGGG